UAUAUUAAUCAAAAAUUGUGACUUGUGCAAUUUGUGAAGUAUUGCAUGUCUAAAAAUAAUGUAAACAACCUACUAAAAGCACAAGACUUCAUUCUUUUUCACAGCUACAUAUCAAAAUUUUAAAAUUGCAUUGAUAGUGAUCCGGUCAAGGGUGUUACGAAUUAUGAGGUAAGAAAGACAACCAAUGAAUCUCCUAAUAUUUAUACAAAGACAAUCAAAAUGUAAAAAUAAACAAAUAUGUAAAUAAUCACAUUUCAAAUAUCAGUUUUAACACUUUUUAAAUUUUGCAUUCCAGAGAAAUCUUAAAAUAGUGUUUAUAUUUUCUUAAAAAUUUUGUUCUGACCAAAGAGAACAAACUUUCAGCUCUCCUAUGUGUUUUUGUUAAAGACUGACAACCCAAAGAAGCAUCACCUAAGAAAAUACUAAAAUGACAGGAUUUAAUUCUAAGUUCCACUACUU